CCCUUAGAUGUCCUGGGCUGCACGCGCGCUACACUGAUGUGUCCAGUAAGCACCUAACCUCUUCCGAAAGGAACGGGUAACCUUUGCAAAGCACAUCGUGAUGGGGAUAGAUUAUUGCAAUUAUUAGUCUUGAACGAGGAAUUCCUAGUAAGCACAAGUCAUCAGCUUGUGUUGAUUACGUCCCUGCCCUUUGUACACACCGCCCGUCGCUCCUACCGAUUGAAUGUUCCGGUGAGCUCUUCGGACUGCGCGGUCUGCAGUUUCUGCGUUCCGUGCGGAAAGUUGCGCAAACCUUAACAUUGAGAGGAAGGAGAAGGCGUAACA
rnacentral:rRNA from 1 species